UCUGCCUCCAAUGUGCUGCGGCACUACGGGCGGUGCUACUGGGAGCUCUCCAAAGCCCGCCUCAGUGCACUUGUUGUGGCAACAUCGGGGGCUGGAUAUGUGCUCGGGAGUGGCAGCAUCGUAGACAUUGCUGGACUUUGCUACACAUGCACUGGUACCAUGAUGGUUGCAGCAUCUGCCAACACUCUCAACCAGGUGUUCGAGAUAAAGAAUGAUGCUAAAAUGAAAAGGACAAUGCGACGGCCCCUACCAUCAGGGCGUAUUAGUCCUGUGCAUGCUGCCAUGUGGGCUACAAGUGUUGGAGCUGCAGGAACAGCAUUAUUGGCUUGCAAGGCUAAUUACUUAGCUGCUGGGCUUGCAGCAUCCAAUCUCAUUCUGUAUACAUUUGUGUACACUCCACUGAAGCAAAUACACCAUGUUAAUACAUGGGUGGGAGCAGUUGUUGGGGCCAUUCCGCCACUUCUAGGGUGGGCAGCAGCAGCAUCUGAAGUGUCACUCAACUCUAUGAUUCUGCCUGCUGCUUUGUACUUUUGGCAGUUACCACAUUUCAUGGCCCUUGCGUACUUAUGCCGUGACGACUACGUUGCUGGAGGGUACCGAAUGCUCUCUUUUGCUGAUCCUAGUGGUACAAGAACUGCAUGGGUAUCACUCAGGAAUUGUCUCUACAUGCUGCCAUUGGGGUUACUUGCAUACAACUGGGGUCUAACAUCUGGAUGGUUCAGUUUUGAAGCAUCACUUCUAACGACGGGCCUUACCAUUGGAGCCUUAUCAUUUGUACUGGAUCCUACUCACAAGAGUGCAAGAAGAAUGUUCCAUGGCAGCCUUUUGUAUCUUCCUGCUUUAAUGGCAGGACUUAUAUUGCAUCGGCUGCCUAACCAAUGA
rnacentral:rRNA from 1 species